rnacentral:rRNA from 1 species
AGCUCGUGUCGUGAGAUGUGGGUUAGUCCGCAACGAGCGCAACCCUUGCCUUUAGUUUGCCAGCAGUUCGGCUGGGCACUCUAAAGGGACUGCCGGUGUUAAACCGGAGGAAGGUGGGGAGUGACGUCAAGUCCUCAUGGCCUUUAUGACCAGGGCUACACACGUACUACAAUGGCCGAUACAAAGGGCAGCGACACUGCGAGGUGAAGCCAAUCCCGUAAAAUCGGUCUCAGUCCGGAUUGGAGUCUGCAACUCGACUCCAUGAAGUUGGAAUCGCUAGUAAUCGUGGAUCAGCAUGCCACGGUGAAUACGUUCCCGGGCCUU